rnacentral:rRNA from 1 species
AGGCCGAAAGGCGUAGUCGAUGGGAAACAGGUUAAUAUUCCUGUACUUGGUGUUACUGCGAAGGGGGGACGGAGAAGGCUAUGUUAGCCGGGCGACGGUUGUCCCGGUUUAAGCAUGUAGGCUGGUUGUCCAGGCAAAUCCGGAUAAUCAAGGCUGAGGUGUGAUGACGAGGCACUACGGUGCUGAAGUAACAAAUGCCCUGCUUCCAGGAAAAGCCUCUAAGCAUCAGGUAACAUUAAAUCGUACCCCAAACCGACACAGGUGGUCAGGUAGAGAAUACCAAGGCGCUUGAGAGAACUCGGGUGAAGGAACUAGGCAAAAUGGUGCCGUAACUUCGGGAGAAGGCACGCUGGUGUGUAGGUGAAGUCCCUGCGGAUGGAGCUGAGACCAGUCGAAGAUACCAGCUGGCUGCAACUGUUUAUUAAAAACACAGCACUGUGCAAACACGAAAGUGGACGUAUACGGUGUGACGCCUGCCCGGUGCCGGAAGGUUAAUUGAUGGGGUUAUCCGUAAGGAGAAGCUCUUGAUCGAAGCCCCGGUAAACGGCGGCCGUAACUAUAACGGUCCUAAGGUAGCGAAAUUCCUUGUCGGGUAAGUUCCGACCUGCACGAAUGGCGUAAUGAUGGCCAGGCUGUCUCCACCCGAGACUCAGUGAAAUUGAACUCGCUGUGAAGAUGCAGUGUACCCGCGGCAAGACGGAAAGACCCCGUGAACCUUUACUAUAGCUUGACACUGAACAUUGAGCCUUGAUGUGUAGGAUAGGUGGGAGGCUUUGAAGCGUGGACGCCAGUCUGCGUGGAGCCAACCUUGAAAUACCACCCUUUAAUGUUUGAUGUUCUAACGUUGGCCCCUUACCGGGGUUGCGGACAGUGUCUGGUGGGUAGUUUGACUGGGGCGGUCUCCUCCCAAAGCGUAACGGAGGAGCACGAAGGUUAGCUAAUCCUGGUCGGACAUCAGGAGGUUAGUGCAAUGGCAUAAGCUAGCUUGACUGCGAGCGUGACGGCGCGAGCAGGUGCGAAAGCAGGUCAUAGUGAUCCGGUGGUUCUGAAUGGAAGGGCCAUCGCUCAACGGAUAAAAGGUACUCCGGGGAUAACAGGCUGAUACCGCCCAAGAGUUCAUAUCGACGGCGGUGUUUGGCACCUCGAUGUCGGCUCAUCACAUCCUGGGGCUGAAGUAGGUCCCAAGGGUAUGGCUGUUCGCCAUUUAAAGUGGUACGCGAGCUGGGUUUAGAACGUCGUGAGACAGUUCGGUCCCUAUCUGCCGUGGGCGCUGGAGAAUUGAGGGGGGCUGCUCCUAGUACGAGAGGACCGGAGUGGACGCAUCACUGGUGUUCGGGUUGUCAUGCCAAUGGCACUGCCCGGUAGCUAAAUGCGGAAGAGAUAAGUGCUGAAAGCAUCUAAGCACGAAACUUGCCCCGAGAUGAGUUCUCCCUGAGACUUUAAGUCUCCUGAAGGAACGUUGAAGACGACGACGUUGAUAGGCCGGGUGUGUAAGCGCAGCGAUGCGUUGAGCUAACCGGUACUAAUGAACCGUGAGGCUUAACCUU